ensembl:lncRNA
UUUGCAAUUACCAGCGGUUCCUGCCAGUUAGGCCCAACCUAAUCUGGAAUACCCAGAACAAAAUCUUGCAUGAACAUAACUCUCAUAACCUCUGUGCUCCCGACAGACGUAACAUGUUGGUUACAGAUCUUAGGACAGAUAUGCCCACCCAGAUCAGUCUUAUCUACACCUGCAAUUGGAGCACAUUACAAACCUAUGACAGCUAUAGGUAUGAUAGUGUAUAUGAAAAUGAUGCACCAUCACAGAAGGGUCAUAGGUGGGAGCUAUUGUUUCACCAUAAAAGGAGAGAGGGGAGACACAAAAUACAGUGUGUCACUCUCACACUCACUACUGUGGCAUUGCCUGAGUCAUUAUCUACAGCCAACAGCUCCUGUGUAUAUUUCUAAAAACAUUUUCGAGAGCAUGUGAAUAUAGUCGCCCCCGAAAGCAUUUCUCAUUUCCAUAUAUCCUGUUUCACAUCUCUCUCUGUAUUAUACAUAAUAACAGGUGGCAGGUUUAAAGAACUCUUAACCGUGAUCCAAUGAAUGUGCUGCUGGUGCCUUAUGUGUGAGUUAUGUAUUAUUAAUAAUAUCAUUAUUGUACUAUAUAAUAAAAUGUUAAAUAAUUGACUUUCAUAACAAUAUCCCUAGUUGUACUUUUGGUUGGAAUGACAAUGAACGACAUUUCUUGUCGUCUCUCUUGACCUACAGUUAACAGAUGCAGGAACAAGGAGAAACAGACAAACACUUGGAUUACCCAGAAGAAGCACCAGAUCUCAGUAAGCCUGAAGUUUGUGAAGGGGUUGAGCUGAGCAGUGAGUCCUCUGCCCUUGUAAAGUGUCAGCAGUGUUUGUUCUAUGUGGAUUCUAAACUCAAGGAGCUUGGUCGAUCAAAUGCCAGCCACAACCAAUGCUCCCUCCAAGUAAAGGGGUCAGAGCUGCCUGGGUGGAAGCCCAGAGGGCUGUGGUCAAAGGUCACCGUCCAGUGUCAUUAUGAAGAAGAGAAGAAGAAAAGGCAAUACCAUGACAUAAUUAUGUUUUUAUGUAGCUGCCUCACACUUUUCCUCCACUUUGCC